GGCUCAGGAUGAACGCUAGCGGCGCGCUUAACGCAUGCAAGUCGAGCGAUGAGGCUCCCUUCGGGGAGUACAUCAGCGGCAGACGGGUGAGUAACACGUAGGUAACCUGCCCUCAAGACGGGAUAACGCCUGGAAACGGGCGCUAAUACCGGAUGACCUUAGUUGGGGAAGAUCCGAUUAAGGAAAGGCUAUGGCGCUUGAGGAGGGGCCUGCGGNCCAUCAGUUAGUUGGUAGGGUAACGGCCUACCAAGGCGAAGACGGGUAGGGGGUGUGAGAGCACGGCCCCCCACACUGGGACUGAGACACGGCCCAGACUCCUACGGGAGGCAGCAGCGGGGAAUAUUGCGCAAUGGACGGAAGUCAGACGCAGCGACGCCGCGUGGGUGAAGAAGGCCUUCGGGUUGUAAAGCCCUUUUCUGAGGGAAGAGAAAGGACGGUACCUUAGGAAUAAGCGUCGGCUAACUACGUGCCAGCAGCCGCGGUAAGACGUAGGACGCGAGCGUUAUCCGGAUUUACUGGGCGUAAAGCGUGUGUAGGCGGCGUGACAAGUUGGGCGUGAAAGCCCCGUGCUCAACGCGGGGAGGCCGCACAAUACUGUCAGGCUAGAGGGCACCAGAGGGGUGUGGAAUUCCCGGAGUAGCGGUAAAAUGCGCAGAUAUCGGGAGGAACACCGGUGGCGAAAGCGGCACCCUGGGGUGCGCCUGACGCUGAGAGACGACAGCUAGGGGAGCGAACAGGAUUAGAGACCCUGGUAGUCCUAGCCGUAAACGAUGGAUGCUAGGUGUAGGAGUGAAGAGCUUCUGUGCCGCAGCGAACGCGAUAAGCAACC
rnacentral:rRNA from 1 species